rnacentral:rRNA from 1 species
GGGGAAUAUUGGGCAAUGGACGCAAGUCUGACCCAGCAACGCCGCGUGAAGGAAGAAGGCUUUCGGGUUGUAAACUUCUUUUGUCAGGGAAGAGUAGAAGACGGUACCUGACGAAUAAGCCACGGCUAACUACGUGCCAGCAGCCGCGGUAAUACGUAGGGAGCAAGCGUUGUCCGGAUUUACUGGGUGUAAAGGGUGCGUAGGCGGCUUUGCAAGUCAGAUGUGAAAUCUAUGGGCUCAACCCAUAAACUGCAUUUGAAACUGUAGAGCUUGAGUGAAGUAGAGGCAGGCGGAAUUCCCCGUGUAGCGGUGAAAUGCGUAGAGAUGGGGAGGAACACCAGUGGCGAAGGCGGCCUGCUGGGCUUUAACUGACGCUGAGGCACGAAAGCGUGGGUAGCAAACAGGAUUAGAUACCCUGGUAGUCCACGCUGUAAACGAUGAUUACUAGGUGUGGGGGGUCUGACCCCUUCCGUGCCGGAGUUAACACAAUAAGUAAUCCACCUGGGGAGUACGGCCGCAAGGUUGAAACUCAAAGGAAUUGACGGGGGCCCGCACAAGCAGUGGAGUAUGUGGUUUAAUUCGAAGCAACGCGAAGAACCUUACCAGGUCUUGACAUCCAACUAACGAAGUAGAGAUACAUUAGGUGCCCUUCGGGGAAAGUUGAGACAGGUGGUGCAUGGUUGUCGUCAGCUCGUGUCGUGAGAUGUUGGGUUAAGUCCCGCAACGAGCGCAACCCUUGCUAUUAGUUGCUACGCAAGAGCACUCUAAUAGGACUGCCGUUGACAAAACGGAGGAAGGUGGGGACGACGUCAAAUCAUCAUGCCCCUUAUGACCUGGGCUACACACGUACUACAAUGGAUGUUAACAGAGGGAAGCAAGACAGCGAUGUGGAGCAAACCCCUAAAAACAUUCUCAGUUCAGAUUGCAGGCUGCAACCCGCCUGCAUGAAGAUGGAAUUGCUAGUAAUCGCGGAUCAGCAUGCCGCGGUGAAUACGUUCCCG